AACCUCCCACCCGUGAAUACCUAACACUGUUGCUUCGGCGGGGAACCCCCUCGGGGGCGAGCCGCCGGGGACUACUGAACUUCAUGCCUGAGAGUGAUGCAGUCUGAGUCUGAAUAUAAAAUCAGUCAAAACUUUCAACAAUGGAUCUCUUGGUUCCGGCAUCGAUGAAGAACGCAGCGAACUGCGAUAAGUAAUGUGAAUUGCAGAAUUCAGUGAAUCAUCGAGUCUUUGAACGCACAUUGCGCCCCCUGGCAUUCCGGGGGGCAUGCCUGUCCGAGCGUCAUUGCUGCCCAUCAAGCCCGGCUUGUGUGUUGGGUCGUCGUCCCCCCCGGGGGACGGGCCCGAAAGGCAGCGGCGGCACCGUGUCCGGUCCUCGAGCGUAUGGGGCUUUGUCACCCGCUCGACUAGGGCCGGCCGGGCGCCAGCCGACGUCUCCAACCAUUUUUCUUCAGGUUGACCUCGGAUCAGGUAGGGAUACCCGCUGAACUUAA
rnacentral:misc_RNA from 1 species